UGCGUAGGGUGCAAGCGUUGUCCGGAAUUAUUGGGCGUAAAGAGCUCGUAGGCGGUCUGUCGCGUCGAAUGUGAAAACCCGGGGCUCAACCCCGGGCCUGCAUUCGAUACGGGCAGACUAGAGUUCGGUAGGGGAGUCUGGAAUUCCUGGUGUAGCGGUGAAAUGCGCAGAUAUCAGGAGGAACACCGGUGGCGAAGGCGGGACUCUGGGCCGUGACUGACGCUGAGGAGCGAAAGCCAGGGGAGCAAACGGG
rnacentral:rRNA from 1 species